GGGGCUGAACGGUUUCGACUGCGUACGUUGAUUCAGGGGAAGCGUGUCGGUGCAGGCAAGAGACCACCGUAAGCGUCGUUGCAACCAAUUAAGCGCCGAUUCCAAUCAGCGCGAGUACGCCCUCGCUGCCUAAGUAGCAGGUCGUCUCUGUCAGACCGGGUUCGUCCCUCGACCCGGAUCCUGGCAUCAGCUAGGGGGACUUACCGUCUGGGCCGGUCGCGGGUCACGGCGGAACAUCACACAGCGACUGGGAUCGUCAUCCGAGCUUGUUCGUGAGACCCGGAGAUCCGAGCAGAGGCAUAGCGAACUGCACACGGAGAAGCCCUGAAGACGCGGCGGAGGACCCGGGUUCGAUUCCCGGCAGCUCCACCA
rfam:Nocardia asteroides NBRC 15531 DNA, contig: NCAST05.